GGGGUUAUAGUUUAAUUGGGAAAAACUAGGACUUUGCACGUCUUGAACUCAGGUUCGAUUCCUGAUAACUCCA
rnacentral:tRNA from 1 species